rnacentral:rRNA from 1 species
UACGUAGGGGGCAAGCGUUGUCCGGAAUCAUUGGGCGUAAAGAGCGUGUAGGUGGCUCGGUAAGUCCGCUGUAAAAGUCCAGGGCUCAACCCUGGAAAGCCGGUGGAAACUGUCGAGCUAGAAUCCAGAAGAGGGUAGUGGAAUUCCGAGUGUAGAGGUGAAAUUCGUAGAUAUUCGGAAGAACACCAGUGGCGAAGGCGACUACCUGGUCUGGCAUUGACGCUCAUGUGCGAAAGCGUGGGGAGCAAACAGG